rnacentral:rRNA from 1 species
AUUGAACGCUGGCGGCAUGCCUUACACAUGCGGGUCGAACGGUAACAGGUUAAGCUGACGAGUGGCGAACGGGUGAGUAAUAUAUCGGAACGUGCCCAGUCGUGGGGGAUAACGCAGCGAAAGCUGUGCUAAUACCGCAUACGAUCUACGGAUGAAAGCGGGGGAUCGCAAGACCUCGCGCGAUUGGAGCGGCCGAUAUCAGAUUAGCUAGUUGGUGGGGUAAAAGCCCACCAAGGCGACGAUCUGUAGCUGGUCUGAGAGGACGACCAGCCACACUGGAACUGAGACACGGUCCAGACUCCUACGGGAGGCAGCAGUGGGGAAUUUUGGACAAUGGGCGAAAGCCUGAUCCAGCAAUGCCGCGUGCAGGACGAAGGCCUUCGGGUUGUAAACUGCUUUUGUACGGAACGAAACGGUCUCUUCUAAUAAAGGGGGCUAAUGACGGUACCGUAAGAAUAAGCACCGGCUAACUACGUGCCAGCCGCCGCCGUAA